CCUCUAUUGUCUCCUCCUCCCUCGAUCUCUCCGCUCUCCCGAUCUCUCUCGAUCUCAUCCCUAUCGAUCUCCUCUCUCUCGAUCUCUUCCCUCUCGAUCUCCUUCUUCUCGAUCUCUCUCUCUCACAUUCUUUCUUUCUCUCUCUGUCUCCCAUCUCACCUACCCUAAACCUUCAUAAGCCGCCGUAAACCAUCUGCGCCAGCCACAAGCCGCCAUCCACAAAGCAUCACCAGCUGCGACUUUGUUUGUUCUUCAUUUGUAGGGAGGCGUUGAAGUGUGAACUAUCUCAAAAAAUUAUUGGGUGCAAACCAAAAACAUGCAGGCUCAAUUGUGUACUCCUUUGCUUCAAUCAAUCUGCCCAAACAGGUCUAAUGGACUACGCUUUUUAGCCGUAUAGAAGUCAAAAACUAACAAACCGAUAGUUUCCCCGGAAACUCACACCAUGGAAGUUUUGAUUUAUAUAGAUCGGGCAUACAUUCUUUGAGGAGCAAGACUGAGCUAACUAUUCUGGGAUUAGUUGGUUGAUUUGGAACUUGGGCGUACAUUCUUUGGAACUUGGGCGUUGGAUGUGGUUUUAAUUUGCGGAUGUCAUGUUUAUGUUGUUUUGGAGUAUUUGAUUUUUGGAAUUUGGAUGUCUUGGACUUUUCGGAUAUUGUGUAUGUGGAUUUCAUUUUUAGAUGUUGGAGGACGAUGUAAUAUUUUUAUUUUGGAUGUAUUGUUAAAACUUAAUUUAUGAACUUGGAUAUUAGACUUUGUAUUUAGAUUA